GAUGAACGCUGGCGGCGUGCCUAAUACAUGCAAGUCGAGCGAACGGACGAGAAGCUUGCUUCUCUGAUGUUAGCGGCGGACGGGUGAGUAACACGUGGAUAACCUACCUAUAAGACUGGGAUAACUUCGGGAAACCGGAGCUAAUACCGGAUAAUAUUUUGAACCGCAUGGUUCAAAAGUGAAAGACGGUCUUGCUGUCACUUAUAGAUGGAUCCGCGCUGCAUUAGCUAGUUGGUAAGGUAACGGCUUACCAAGGCAACGAUGCAUAGCCGACCUGAGAGGGUGAUCGGCCACACUGGAACUGAGACACGGUCCAGACUCCUACGGGAGGCAGCAGUAGGGAAUCUUCCGCAAUGGGGGAAAGCCUGACGGAGCAACGCCGCGUGAGUGAUGAAGGUCUUCGGAUCGUAAAACUCUGUUAUUAGGGAAGAACAUAUGUGUAAGUAACUGUGCACAUCUUGACGGUACCUAAUCAGAAAGCCACGGCUAACUACGUG
rnacentral:rRNA from 1 species